GACGAACGCUGGCGGCGUGCUUAACACAUGCAAGUCGAACGGAAAGGCCCUGCUUUUGUGGGGUGCUCGAGUGGCGAACGGGUGAGUAACACGUGAGUAACCUGCCCUUGACUUUGGGAUAACUUCAGGAAACUGGUGCUAAUACCGGAUAGGAGCUCCUGCUUCAUGGUGGGGGUUGGAAAGUUUCGGCGGUUGGGGAUGGACUCGCGGCUUAUCAGCUUGUUGGUGGGGUAGUGGCUUACCAAGGCUUUGACGGGUAGCCGGCCUGAGAGGGUGACCGGCCACAUUGGGACUGGGAUACGGCCCAGACUCCUACGGGAGGCAGCAGUGGGGAAUAUUGCACAAUGGGCGGAAGCCUGAUGCAGCAACGCCGCGUGCGGGAUGACGGCCUUCGGGUUGUAAAACGCUUUCGCCUGUGACGAAGCGUGAGUGACGGUAAUGGGUAAAGAAGCACCGGCUAACUACGUG
rnacentral:rRNA from 1 species